GACGAACGCUGGCGGCGUGCCUAAUACAUGCAAGUAGAACGCACAGUUUAUACCGUAGCUUGCUACACCAUAGACUGUGAGUUGCGAACGGGUGAGUAACGCGUAGGUAACCUGCCUGGUAGCGGGGGAUAACUAUUGGAAACGAUAGCUAAUACCGCAUAAUAUUGAUUAUUGCAUGAUAAUUAAUUGAAAGGUGCAAUUGCACCACUACCAGAUGGACCUGCGUUGUAUUAGCUAGUAGGUGAGGUAACGGCUCACCUAGGCGACGAUACAUAGCCGACCUGAGAGGGUGAUCGGCCACACUGGGACUGAGACACGGCCCAGACUCCUACGGGAGGCAGCAGUAGGGAAUCUUCGGCAAUGGACGAAAGUCUGACCGAGCAACGCCGCGUGAGUGAAGAAGGUUUUCGGAUCGUAAAGCUCUGUUGUAAGAGAAGAACGGGUGUGAGAGUGGAAAGUUCACACUGUGACGGUAUCUUACCAGAAAGGGACGGCUAACUACGUGC
rnacentral:rRNA from 1 species